rnacentral:tRNA from 1 species
GGAGAGAUGGCUCGAGUUGGUUGAAGGCGCUGCUCUCGAAAAGCAGUAAGGGCGCAAGUUCUUCGAGGGUUCGAAUCCCUCUCUCUCCG